rnacentral:rRNA from 1 species
AAGCGUUGUUCGGAAUUACUGGGCGUAAAGGGUGCGCAGGCCGCGCGGGCAGUCAAAUGUGUAAUCCAGGGGCUCAACCCCUGAACUGCGCUUGAUACUUCCGCGCUCGAGCUUUGGAGAGGAGUCUGGAAUUCUCGGUGUAGCAGUGAAAUGCGUGGAUAUCGAGAAGAACACUUAGGGCGUAGGCAAGACUCUGGACAAAUGCUGACGCUCAUGCACGAAAGCUAGGGUAGCGAACGGG